GAAAGCAGAUCAUGGUAAAAUUAUUUUUCUUUAACAUGUUAGAGUCUUUUUUUAAGUUACGUAUCUCUCUCAGUGUAGUAUGCUUUCCUGAUUUAACUAUAAAGGUACAAUUUUCAGUACAGGUAACAACUAGGCAUACUGUAAAAUGCAGAGAAACUUUCUAAUGCAAAAUCAACUUGGCAAGUGUAUGUUAUUUAACAGAGCAAUUCUUUUAAGCAUUCCAGCUUUAAAAGUCUAGGAAAUAAAUAAAUCAUAACUUGAGGUUUGCUUAACAAAAGCUCCCCUCUCUUCAAGUGAUGAUUACCUUUCAUCUGACCAAUUAAACCACAUGACUCAGUAGCAAUAAAUGGAAUGAAAACAGAUGAAUGCAAUCUCUCUGUUUAUAGGUGUCCUGGGAGAGCAUUAUUAGAUUUUGUUACUAGCUCUGAGAGCACUACUGCACUUGUUGCUGAGGUAUCAUUUAAUUCAUAUGUCUAUCUGAAAUUCUAUUUGUUUGCUUUGAAAUUGCUCACCUGCAUUUUGUCUUUGUAUAUUUGUCUCAUCAUAUAAAUAUAUAUGGAAUUCUUUUGAAGAUGGUCUAUAACCUAUGAGUAUAUAGUGCCUAAAAUAACUUCCCAGACAUGGCUGGUUUUGUUAGACAUUACAAGGAAUAUUAAAAUAUUUCAGCCUUGUUCUCUACAUUAGGGCUAGCUAACAUAAUUAAUCUAUCCUAUAGCCCCUUCUAAAACCAGAAAAUAUUAUCUUUGUUCCUAAAGUGAUUUAUUACUCACACAUAUACAUGGUGUUCUUCAUAAUUUUUCAUAAAAAUUUUUCAUGAUUUGGCCUCUCUAUCUGUGAGUUUUACAAGUAUAUUAUAUAUCCAUUAAAAGGGGAUUUUUUUUAAUGAAUUUGUUAUUAUUUGUAACUCUACUGUGUUGAGCCAACAUAGACAACAGAUAAUAUAGCUAAUACUGUGUUCAGCUAACAUUGUUUUUAUUAUUGUGAUUUUAACAAGAGGAGAGUAUUCUGGAAGCACUUAGGCACAUCUGGAAGGUGGUUGGAGUGGCUAUUCCGUGUUAUUUUAUGCUUUGAGACUUUUUUUUUUUUUAGUUAAUUCUUACUGAAACAACGGAAUUACUGGGAUUGCAUUGAUUGAGGCCACUUGAGUACAGCCUUGUAUUAUUUUUCUACAAGAACAGGAGGGCUCUGUUAUAUAGUGACAUUAAUGUUGAAAUACUUCAGCGUUAUUGUUAAAAGCUACAAUCAUUACGUAGUGCACUGCUGAUCACAUACCUUUAUUAUAAUAUUAUUACGAAUAACUUAAAGCAGAUAAUUUUUCAUGUAAGGUGCUCUGUGAUAUGUUGUCAAAGGCUUCAUUUUAAUAGUCAAAGAUUUAAUUUACUAUGAAGUCCUUCUGCUGUUAAGUGAUUCUACAGACAAGAUCUUAUGUUAUUAUUGGUGAUACAUGACCGUUACAAUGGAGAACUGAACCAUCUCCAUCCAUUGCUGAAAAGCUGCUUAAAGAAAAUAGAGGGGCAAAGCAGUAAUUGUUUCUUAUGUCGUUUUUUCUUGUUUUGUGGGAGGAUAAGGUUUGUUCAUUAAAUCCCACAUGACUGAACAAAGCUGGUAGUUUGAUACUGUCUCAGUUAGGAACAGUAGUGGUCUCCAGUAGUGUUGCCUGGAGGGCAAUAUUCACUCAGGAUAUUUUGGAGCCCCUGCCCUAAUACUUCAUCCCAGCGUGGCCAGAGGAGUCCUAGGUAAGAAUAUGUACAUCCCCGGAAUCCCGUAUAAAGGAAAGACUUUCAGACUUUCAUAUAAAUAUAGCACAUUUUAGACACAGGAAUAUAUAUAUAUUGAUGCCAAAGAUGUAUGGUAGUUUACAAUGAAUAGGACAGCAUCUAGAUACACGUCCAAUUCAGCACAGAGCAGUAAGGGAAACAGUAUCUGUGCCAUCUAUACGAUCCUCUCUUCUCUUAGAUUUUUAUAAGAAACAACAGAUUUACAACUAAAGACUGUGCUAAAUGUAUUCAGACAACUAUUUUUAAAUUGAAAUAUUAAAGUGUGAAGAAAAAGUCUUCAGAAGAGAUAU
ensembl:lncRNA